rnacentral:rRNA from 1 species
CCUACGGGUGGCAGCAGUGAGGAAUAUUGGUCAAUGGACGAGAGUCUGAACCAGCCAAGUAGCGUGAAGGAUGACUGCCCUAUGGGUUGUAAACUUCUUUUAUAUGGGAAUAAAAUGUUCCACGUGUGGGAUUUUGUAUGUACCAUAUGAAUAAGGAUCGGCUAACUCCGGGCCAGCAGCCGCGGUAAUACGGAGGAUCCGAGCGUUAUCCGGAUUUAUUGGGUUUAAAGGGAGCGUAGGUGGAUUGUUAAGUCAGUUGUGAAAGUUUGCGGCUCAACCGUAAAAUUGCAGUUGAAACUGGCAGUCUUGAGUACAGUAGAGGUGGGCGGAAUUCGUGGUGUAGCGGUGAAAUGCUUAGAUAUCACGAAGAACUCCGAUUGCGAAGGCAGUUCACUGGACUGCAACUGACACUGAGGCUCGAAAGUGUGGGUAUCAAACAGGAUUAGAUACCCGUGUAGUC